rnacentral:rRNA from 1 species
CAAUAGCGUAUAUUAAAGUUGUUGCGGUUAAAAAGCUCGUAGUUGGAUUUCUGCCGAGGACGACCGGUCCGCCCUCUGGGUGUGUAUCUGGUUUGGCCUGGGCAUCUUCUUGGAGAACGUAGCUGCACUUGACUGUGUGGUGCGGUGUCCAGGACUUUUACUUUGAGGAAAUUAGAGUGUUUCAAGCAGGCACACGCCUUGAAUACAUUAGCAUGGAAUAAUAAGAUAGGACCUCGGUUCUAUUUUGUUGGUUUCUAGAGCUGAGGUAAUGAUUAAUAGGGAUAGUUGGGGGCAUUCGUAUUUAACUGUCAGAGGUGAAAUUCUUGGACUUGUUAAAGACGGACUACUGCGAAAGCAUUUGCCAAGGAUGUUUUCAUUGA